UCGCACCCAAUCUUGAACACCAUGCUUGUGUGGUUGAUCUCCUCAGUCGAGCAGGGAAGGUCGAGGAGGAUAUAACCUGUACCGAAAUGUAUUCUUAGUGCCCCAUCUAGAUAUUUUAGGCAUAAUCCUUGAUGCAUGUCGAGCACAUGGUAAUAAGGAACUUGGUGAUGCAAUUGCCAAUGACAUUCGCAUGCUGAGGCCUAUGAAUGCAGGGCAUUAUGUACAACUUUCACAUUGCUAUGCUUGGAUAAACAAGUGGGAAGAAGUGGGUGAGGUAUGGAAUCAUAUGAGAUCUCUUGGAUUGAAGAAAAUUCCUGGCUGGAGUUUCAUUGACAUACAUGGGGCCAUAACUACAUUUUUCACAGAUCACAACUCACACCCCCAAUUUCAAGAAAUACUCUUUACACUAAAAAUUUUGAGGAAGCAAAUGAUCAAAAUGGAGGAACGUUCAUUGUCUAUAUAAUACUAACAUUGUCUAAAAUGAACAAACGAAAGAGAAAGAAAGGUGAACAGGAGCAGCGGAGAGCGUUCAUGGUGUUAAUGUGGACAGUUGGAUUCUGUCUCAUUGGUUACAUUGGCGGCAGACCACUCUAUUGGCAUCUCAAUGAGUCCCUCUCUGCCAUCUCUUCUUGCCCCCUUUGCCAUUGCGAUUGCUCUCGAGCCUCUUCUUUCUCUCCCUGAUGGAUUGAAUAACUCUCAGUUCUUCUCCCUCUAUUACUACUACUAAUAGAAAAAGCUGCAGCUAUCAGAUAAUAAUGCCAUACAAAUUCACUUAUGCAAUCACGGAACACACCAUGAUCAUAGUUAAACACAUGCAAAUAUAUAGCUGUUAUUAACUGCACUCGUUUAUAUUUUUCGUAGAUGUUUUUCCUUAAUCUUUGCAGCACAAUCACCCCAAGUAGAUAAGUAAUUAUUGUUCACCUAUUCAACUUUCUCUUGAAUCAAUAACUUUUUCUUCAAUUGAUUUCUGCUUCGAAGAUAGAUUUAUGAACUACUAAUACACUAUCACCCCCAUCACUCACUGUAAUUAUCACUUUAUAUGUAACUGAUAACUGUACUACACGUGAUAGAUAUGUAUUAGCUAAACGCAGAUAAAAUAUGGUCCUGUUAGAUUGUUACAUCCAAAUUAACUGAUUCAGCCACAGCUACCUAGGAAUAUGUUGUUACUAGGGUCUUCAAAAUCUUUGUGUGGUGUAUGCUAUUCUGUGUAUACCAAGUAUGUGCGAAAGUAGGUCAGUAAUUUGUACGUGGACAUGUCAUGGGGGAGUGUCCACUGCAGAAACAACUUUGUCGCUCAACAAGCGCAUGGCAGCUCCCUUAGAGAAUUUCCUAGACACCAUUCUGUCCUGAACUCCGUCUCAUAAUAUACAUGAUUGAUGCCCUGUUAGAAAGAAGGGGAAAAAAAAAAGAACGAACAAGGCACAGGGUUAAGGAAACAAAAAUGUUUGCACUAUCAAAGUUUUUUCUUUGCAACAACUCGACUUCACACAAGUUGUUCGUCCAAGAAAACUUGAAGAAUUAGCAGAUUUUGAAUAUCGAUUCUAUUUUUAUAAUCCUACUUAAUUCUAUAUCAAAGCUUUGUUUUCCAUGAAUUUAGUUAACUUUGGUGGCUCUAAGUCUCAAGAGUUCAAGGAAUCAGUUACCCACUGCCUUGUAAAUUGCAGAGAAUCAAAAGCAAUUUGGAGAGGAAGCUUACUUCGGCCAUACCUUCAGAUGAACUACUCGGGACACUUCCAUCAAUGGUGGAAGAACCUGAAGACAACCCUCUCUCACCAACCAGAUGCGCGACAGCUGAUGGAGGUAGCAGCGCACUUGUGUGUUGAAAUCUGGAAGGUGAGGAACCUCCUGGUCUUUGAGCAGAAGAGGCAAGCCCUGGUGGAGAUUAUGGCAGCAGCGAUGAGGAGCUAUCAGAACGGUCUGGGGAGUUCCAUGCUCCCUCAACCUUAAGAUCCGUUACUUUCCUCUUCUCUUCUCUUAUUGUGUUUGGUGUAAGAUGGAAGACAGAAAUUGAAACAAGAAUAAAGCUCUAAUUUAAUUUGUACAAAGGGUAAAAUUUGAAUUAAUUAAUUGAAAUGAGAAUAUUUUAGAUAUAAAAUGUUACUCAAAUUUUAGUUUCUACCUCUAAAAAUUUCAGUCUACAGUGACCCCACCUUUUGGAGGUACUGAAAUACUGAAAUUUUGGAGAUAGAGACAGAAAUUUUAGUACCAGUCUUUGAGUCAACAAACAUAAUACUAAGUCUCAGUCUUCUAGUCUCUGUUCUAAUACUUCAAAACAAACGUUACCUUAAUUAUUUGUCAAUUUUAUCCAAUGUUCUGAAAAUCGGACCAGACUGGCCGGUUCAACCGAAUUAACCGAAAACUGGUCACUAGUCGGUCCGGUCCACCUACAAAACCGCACUUCAAAAAACUGGCAAAAAAAUCGGCUAAACCGGUGGUUAAUCGGCAAACUGGGCGAACCAGUUCUUCCCCCCAGCCAGCAAAACAGCGUUGUUUGGCUUUAUAAAAAAGAAAAAAAAAGAAAGAAAAUGAAGGCUGAAGAGUGAAGAACGCGUGUUGCAGGCUUACCCCAAAUCCCUAAUAAGCUAAUCUCUUCGAAGAAGUGAAGAACACCCCCACUCCCAACCCUAAGCUCUUCCAGGCUCGAGCUUCUGCCCACGAAGGACAACCGCCGUCGUGAUUCGAAGCAGACGCUGGAGCAAGCGCCACUGUUGCGGGUCGUUGCCUCAGCGUCGUGGGUCGUCGCCUCAACGUCGCGGGUCGUUCUGUUCUCUACUUCGAGGCUCGAGCUUCUGGCCUUCUGUUCUCUACUUCUCUUGCGGUUAGUUAUGGGCUUCUGGCUCUUCUAUUCUUGUGUUUUCAUAUUUUGUUCUGUCUUUUCUCGUCGCGGGUCGUUCUGUUCUCUUCUUCUAUUCUUUCUGUUUUCAUUGUUUGUUCUGGAUUUCUGUUCUUCUGUUCUUGUGUUUUUAAAUUUUUAAAUUUUGUUUAUUAUAUGAUUAAUCAAAUGUUGAAUAAAUUUAAUGUAUGUUGAAUUUGAGAAUUCUGCUUUGCUCUGUUCUUCAAUUCUUUUAUGAAAUUCAAUUCUGCUCUGUUCAAUUUUUUUUAUUUUUUCAAUUCUGCUCUGUUGAAUGCCAUAUGAAUUGUGUGAAAUAUGAACUAUGAAUUGAUAUAUUGGUCUGGAUUCUGGAUUGCUGGCAUUCUGAGUUGGGGUUGAUGGUUGAUUUUAACGGUGGU